ACGGGUGAGUAACACGUAAGGAACCUGCCUCAAGGAUUGGGAUAACUCCGAGAAAUCGGAGCUAAUACCGGAUAGUUCAACGGACCGCAUGGUCCGCUGAUGAAAGACGCUCCGGCGUCACCUUGAGAUGGCCUUGCGGUGCAUUAGCUAGUUGGUGGGGUAACGGCUCACCAAGGCGACGAUGCAUAGCCGACCUGAGAGGGUGAUCGGCCACACUGGGACUGAGACACGGCCCAGACUCCUACGGGAGGCAGCAGUAGGGAAUCUUCCACAAUGGACGAAAGUCUGAUGGAGCAACGCCGCGUGAGUGAUGAAGGUUUUCGGAUCGUAAAACUCUGUUGUAAGGGAAGAACACGUACGAGAGGAAAUGCUCGUACCUUGACGGUACCUUACGAGAAAGCCACGGCUAACUACGUGCCAGCAGCCGCGGUAAUACGUAGGUGGCAAGCGUUGUCCGGAAUUAUUGGGCGUAAAGCGCGCGCAGGCGGCCUUUUAAGUCUGAUGUGAAAGCCCCCGGCUCAACCGGGGAGGGCCAUUGGAAACUGGAAGGCUUGAGUACAGAAGAGA
rnacentral:rRNA from 1 species